rnacentral:rRNA from 1 species
GUGUAAGAGACAGCAGUCGCCGCGGGAAUACGAGGGGGGCAAGCGUUGUUCGGAAUUAUUGGGCGUAAAGGGCGCGUAGGCGGUUUGGCAAGUUUGGUGUGAAAUCUUCAGGCUCAACCUGAAGUCUGCAUGAGAAACUGCCGGGCUUGAGUAUGGGAGAGGUGAGUGGAAUUCCAGGUGUAGCGGUGAAAUGCGUAGAUAUCUGGAGGAACAUCUGUGGCGAAAGCGGCUCACUGGACCAUAACUGACGCUGAUGCACGAAAGCUAGGGGAGCAAACAGGAUUAGAUACCCCUGUAGUCCCUGUCUCUUAUAC